UUGCAAUGAUGACCAACUUAGGACACCUUUGGAUUGACCGUGAAAAUAACAACUGCGUUACCAUUCCUCUGAGCAGC